AGUGGAUGGGGAGCAACCUAGUUGUGCGUGUGUAAAGGUAGUGCCAAGAAAAGCGGUGAUCAUGAUGAAAAUCAAUUCCCGGUACCCGAAACCGACACAGGUGGGCAAGUAGAGAAUACUAAGGGGCGCGAGGUAACUCUCUCCAAGGAACUCGGCAAAAUGACCCCGUAACUUAGGGAGAAGGGGUGCCACCGAGAGGUGGUCGCAGUGAAGAGGCCCAGGCGACUGUUUAGCAAAAACAUAGGUCUCUGCAAACUCGAAAGAGGAGGUAUAGGGGCUGACGCCUGCCCAGUGCCGGAAGGUUAAAGAAGUUGGUCAGUCUUAGGAUGAAGCUAGCGACUGAAGCCCCGGUGAACGGCGGCCGUAACUAUAACGGUCCUAAGGUAGCGAAAUUCCUUGUCGGGUAAGUUCCGACCCGCACGAAAGGCGUAACGAUCUGGGCGCUGUCUCGGAGAGAGGCUCGGCGAAAUAGGAUUGUCUGUGAAGAUACGGACUACCUGCAUUUGGACAGAAAGACCCUAUGAAGCUUUACUAUAGCUUGGAAUUGUGUUCGGGCUUCCUGUGCGCAGGAUAGGUGGGAGGCGUAGAAGGUAUUCUUGUGGGGAUACUGGAGCCAACGGUGAGAUACCACUCUCAGGAGGCUAGAAUUCUAACUUAAUUAAGGACAGUUUCAGGUGGGUAGUUUGACUGGGGCGGUCGCCUCCAAAAAGGUAACGGAGGCGUACAAAGGUUCCCUCAGACUGGUUGGUAAUCAGUCGAAGAGUGCAAAGGCAGAAGGGAGCUUGACUGCGAGAAGUACAGUUCGAGCAGGGUGGAAACACGGUCUUAGUGAUCCGACGGUGCUGUGUGGAAGGGCCGUCGUUCAACGGAUAAAAGUUGCUCUAGGAUAACAGGCUGAUCUCCCCCAAGAGUUCACAUCGACGGGGAGGUUUGGCACCUCGAUGUCGGCUCAUCGCAACCUGGGGCGGAAGUACGUCCCAAGGGUUGGGCUGUUCGCCCAUUAAAGCGGUACGUGAGCUGGGUUCAGAACGUCGUGAGACAGUUCGGUCCAUAUCCGAUGUAGGCGUGAGAAUAUUGAGAGGAGCCUUCCUUAGUACGAGAGGACCGGGAAGGACGCACCGCUGGUGUACCUGUUAUGAUGCCAAUUGUAAACGCAGGGUAGCCAAGUGCGGAGAGGAUAACCGCUGAAAGCAUCUAAGUGGGAAGCCCACCUCAAGAUGAGUAUUCUGGUGUAAGGUCACGGGAAGACGACCCGUAAAUAGGCACGAGGUGGAAGUGCAGAGAUGUAUGAAGCCGAAGUGUACUAAUAGACCGUCGGCUUGAUC
rnacentral:rRNA from 1 species